AGAGUUUGAUCAUGGCUCAGAACGAACGCUGGCGGCGUGGAUAAGACAUGCAAGUCGAACGCCAGCCAGGGGGUAGCAAUACUCAAUGGCUGGAGUGGCGCAAGGGUGCGUAACACGUGGGCAAUUUGCCGUGAAGCCCGGGAUAACUCGCUGAAAGGCGAGCUAAUACCGGAUGUGACGGACGGGGGGCAUCCCCCGUCCUUGGAAGCUGGGGACCGCAAGGCCUGGCGCUUCACGAUGAGCCCGCGGCCUAUCAGCUAGUUGGCGGGGUGACGGCCCACCAAGGCUAAGACGGGUAGCUGGUCUGAGAGGACGACCAGCCACACUGGAACUGAGACACGGUCCAGACACCUACGGGUGGCAGCAGUCGAGAAUUUUUCUCAAUGGGCGAAAGCCUGAAGGAGCGACGCCGCGUGGGGGAUGAAGGGCUUCGGCUCGUAAACCCCUGUCAUUUGCGAACAAACCCCCCCGUUGAACAGGCGGGGGGCUGAUUGUAGCGAAAGAGGAAGGGACGGCUAACUCUGUGCCAGCAGCCGCGGUAAUACAGAGGUCCCAAGCGUUGUUCGGAUUCACUGGGCGUAAAGGGUGCGUAGGUGGCGGGGUAAGUUUGGCGUGAAAUCUCCGGGCUCAACCCGGGAACUGCGUCGAAUACUAUCUCGCUCGAGGGUUGGAGGGGGGACUGGAAUUCUCGGUGUAGCAGUGAAAUGCGUAGAUAUCGAGAGGAACACCAGCGGCGAAGCGGGUCCCUGGACAACUCCUGACACUGAUGCACGAAAGCUAGGGGAGCAAACAGGAUUAGAUACCCUGGUAGUCCUAGCCGUAAACGGUGCAUAUUUGCUGUAAAAGGAAUCGACCCCUUUUGUGGCGAAGCCAACGCGAUAAAUAUGCCGCCUGGGAAGUACGGUCGCAAGAUUAAAACUCAAAGAAAUUGACGGGGGCCUGCACA
rnacentral:rRNA from 1 species